rnacentral:rRNA from 1 species
UGAGCUGGGGGUGGCCGCAGAGACCAGCGAGAAGCGACUGUUUACUAAAAACACAGGUCCGUGCGAAGCCGUAAGGCGAUGUAUACGGACUGACGCCUGCCCGGUGCUGGAACGUUAAGGGGACCGGUUAGUGCACUUUCGGGUGUGCGAAGCUGAGAACUUAAGCGCCAGUAAACGGCGGUGGUAACUAUAACCAUCCUAAGGUAGCGAAAUUCCUUGUCGGGUAAGUUCCGACCUGCACGAAUGGCGUAACGACUUCUCGACUGUCUCAACCAUAGGCCCGGUGAAAUUGCACUACGAGUAAAGAUGCUCGUUUCGCGCAGCAGGACGGAAAGACCCCGGGACCUUUACUAUAGUUUGAUAUUGGUGUUCGGUUCGGCUUGUGUAGGAUAGGUGGGAGACUUUGAAGCGGCCACGCCAGUGGUUGUGGAGUCGUCGUUGAAAUACCACUCUGGUCGUGCUGGAUGUCUAACCUGGGUCCGUGAUCCGGAUCAGGGACAGUGUCUGAUGGGUAGUUUAACUGGGGCGGUUGCCUCCUAAAGAGUAACGGAGGCGCCCAAAGGUUCCCUCAGCCUGGUUGGCAAUCAGGUGUUGAGUGUAAGUGCACAAGGGAGCUUGACUGUGAGACCGACGGGUCGAGCAGGGACGAAAGUCGGGACUAGUGAUCCGGCAGUGGCUUGUGGAAGCGCUGUCGCUCAACGGAUAAAAGGUACCCCGGGGAUAACAGGCUGAUCUUCCCCAAGAGUCCAUAUCGACGGGAUGGUUUGGCACCUCGAUGUCGGCUCGUCGCAUCCUGGGGCUGGAGUCGGUCCCAAGGGUUGGGCUGUUCGCCCAUUAAAGCGGUACGCGAGCUGGGUUUAGAACGUCGUGAGACAGUUCGGUCCCUAUCCGCUGCGCGCGUAGGAAUAUUGAGAAGGGCUGUCCCUAGUACGAGAGGACCGGGACGGACGAACCUCUGGUGUGCCAGUUGUCCUGCCAAGGGCAUGGCUGGUUGGCUACGUUCGGAAAGGAUAACCGCUGAAAGCAUCUAAGCGGGAAGCCUGCUUCGAGAUGAGUAUUCCCACCCCCUUUGAGGGGUUAAGGCUCCCAGUAGACGACUGGGUUGAUAGGCCAGAUGUGGAAGCCCUGUAAGGGGUGGAGCUGACUGGUACUAAUAGGCCGAGGGCUUGUCCUC